GUGGCGCCAAUCAGGCGCGUCCCUCUGGCGCCGGAGCAAGGACCUGGCGCUGGGCAGUACUUGGACAGCGGUUCUUAAGCUCUCGCGGUUGCCCGUCGAUUGUUGACAGUUGCCAGCUGCCAAUCGUUUUUCAGAAAGCCAGCAGCGGCAUUUUCACCGCGUCCUGCUUGAGGCCGAGCCAAAGAGUGGCUGUGACUCGGGAGACGAAGUAGAACACCCGGCUGGGCAGGCCCAGUCCGGGCUCCCGCGACCCAGCACCGCAGGAUCAGACCGUGCCUCUACGGGGAGACGCUGGAGAGGAAGAGUCCAGCCUGGGAACCGUCAGAGCAGCCCUGCAGAACGGGGUGGGGGCUGCUGUAGAUAGACCCUGACGCCCAGAGAACUGCUGGGAGGCUGUGGCGCAAGGUGGGACUCAAAUGCUGGAGGAAGGAGGUGAGGAGUGGUAGAGGGAGCGAUCGUCAAGAGAUCGGCUGCUGCUUCGUUUGCCCACGACUGCCGCUGUGUGAGCCGGAUCAGAACUCUCUUUAUCUCUCCUACAGUACUGCCUUCCCCAGACUCUGCCCUUCCCCAAGAGGAAAACACAGGAGAGGAAGGAAUGGCUGCUGGUCUCCUCACAGCUGGGCCCCGGGGAUCCACAUUCUUCAGCAGUGUGACAGUAGCUUUUGCACAGAAAGGGUGGAGGUGCCUCGUGUCUACUCCACGGGACAAGUUCAAGGAGGGGAUACCAGGAAAGUGCAGGAACCUUGUCCUACUAGGACUUCCAGUUUCCCAGCCUGGCAUGAACUCCCAGUUGGAACAAAGGGAAGGCACAUGGAUGCUGGAGGGCGAAGACCUGCGAAGUCCCUCUCCAGGCUGGAAGAUUAUAUCUGGAUCACCACCAGAGCAACCCCUUUCUGAAGCUUCAUUCCAAGAUCCACGUGUAGAGAUGCCCCCUGGGGAUUCAGACCAUGGGACCAGUGAACUUGAGAAGAGCUUCAAUCUGAGACCAGUCCUCUCUCUGCAACAGACAGUGCCCGUGGAAGCGAGACCUCGCAAAUGUGAGACGCACACCAAGAGCUUCAAGAACUCGGAAAUCCUGAAACCUCACAGAGCAAAGCCAUAUGCAUGUAAUGAAUGUGGCAAAACCUUCAGUUACUGUUCUUCCCUUUCUCAGCAUCAGAAGAGCCACACUGGAGAGAAGCCCUAUGAGUGCAGUGAGUGCGGGAAGGCCUUCAGCCAGAGCUCAUCUCUCAUUCAGCACCAGAGGAUUCACACUGGAGAGAAACCUUACAAGUGCAGUGAAUGUGGAAGAGCCUUCAGCCAGAACGCCAACCUCACCAAACACCAGCGAACCCACACCGGAGAGAAGCCCUACAGAUGCAGCGAGUGUGAGAAGGCCUUCAGUGACUGCUCAGCUCUUGUUCAGCAUCAGAGAAUUCAUACUGGAGAGAAGCCCUACGAAUGCAGUGACUGUGGGAAGGCCUUCCGUCACAGUGCAAACCUCACGAACCACCAGAGGACUCACACCGGGGAGAAGCCCUACAAGUGCAGCGAGUGUGGGAAGGCCUUCAGUUACUGCGCAGCAUUCAUUCAGCACCAGAGGAUUCACACCGGGGAGAAGCCCUAUAGAUGUGCCGCAUGUGGGAAGGCCUUCAGCCAGAGUGCAAACCUCACAAACCAUCAGAGGACUCACACUGGGGAGAAACCCUACAAGUGCAGCGAGUGUGGGAAGGCCUUCAGCCAAAGUACCAAUCUCAUAAUCCACCAAAAGACCCACACUGGGGAGAAGCCAUAUAAAUGUAAUGAAUGUGGGAAAUUCUUCAGUGAGAGCUCAGCCCUCAUUCGACAUCACAUAAUUCACACCGGAGAAAAACCUUAUGAGUGUAAUGAGUGUGGUAAAGCGUUUAACCAGAGCUCGUCCCUUAGUCAGCAUCAGAGAAUCCACACAGGCGUGAAACCCUACAAAUGCAACGAGUGUGGGAAGGCCUUCCGGUGCAGCUCUGCCUUCGUUAGACAUCAGAGACUCCACACCGGAGAGUAACUAGGAACAUGGUAGAAGUGGAGACAGUCCUGGACAUGCCAACUCAGGACAGAUGGGCUGUUCCCAUGCUUUCGGCACAGAGUCAUCCACAUGAAGAACAACCCUGUUUCCUAAGCUGGCAUUUACUAUCAGCUCACCACUGGAUUGCACCAGCCAACAGAGACCUGGUCAGGUGCAGUGGCGGGUGGCUGAGGGCAAAACCAAGCCUUCACAAAUCUGACAUGGCAGAAACAGUUUUAGAGAAAUGACAAGCUUAAAUUGCCAGGGACAGUUAAACUGCACAGUACCUGACAGCUGUAUGUGGUCUCCUGAUUAUAGGUCAUUGUUGCUGACAUCUUCCCCACAUGCACUGAUUGGGGCCUGCCCCACACAGGGACUACGUGGCACUUUUUUUUUUUUUUUUUUUUGAGACAGAGUCUC